ACUUUUCAUCAGCCACUGUGUGAAUACGACGAUACGAUAUCCCAGUCUCCUGUGGUCUCGAAGUUCAGCAAAUUUGAACAAAGGUGCAGUUUAUGAAAAGAUUUAUCUGGUCUCAAUCAGCUGGAGAAACUGGACGUUAUGUUUGGUAGUAGGCCUGUGAGUUAAUUUUCUCUUUUCACUGGAAGGUUACACUAAUCUGUUCAUACAGCUGCACAAGAAAGAACAGCAAAUGAAGUUGUUGUUAUUUCACCCUUAUUUCAACCUGAAGAGUUCACAAAAAGCAUUAGAAAUGGCUUUUGAAUCACUUUCACCAGUUUAAUUCUGAUAUCAUCAUGUGUGUGCUGCCAUUUAACCACACACAACAUUUCAGAGCCAUUCAACUGAAUGGAUUGAAGAACCAGUUUAGAAAAUGGAAGUUACUAUGUCCCCUUCAGGAAUCUCAGUUCCACUGCAAAAAAACACACUAUAUUUGAUAACUGUGCUGAAAAUACGAGCCUGAUUAAACUCAUCUGUGCAAACCUAAAGAAAACUGGUAUGAUUCAUUCAGAAAAACUAUCUUUUUUGAACAUUUUCAUCACAUUUUUCACCACAAUAAUGAUUGGUUUAGUGAAUCAAACGGAAUUAGCGGCGAGCAAUUAGCUGUUCUUCUCCCGUCCCUUCUAAAUGGACACGUCAGCAAGUAGAUCGGAGGAACUCGUCAAAACUUCAGUCAAGCUUUCAGUCUAUUCAGCAAAUCCUAGCAACGGCCAGCCUACCCCGGUUAUUAAUUAAUGGCGUCUCUCAAGUAUACACUGAAGUGACCAUGAUUGAAACUGGACUUUUCAUUCCGACACUUUCCAUCACACCUUUGAUUUCCAUCCUGUCGGGAAGUUUUGCUGCCAUGAGCAACGAAGAGCUCACCAUCCAACUCGCUGCUUUGAAAAAUUUCAUCGUAAAACAAUAUUCA